GAGAGAGAGAGANAGGGGGGGGGGAAGAGAAGAUGUCUCAACUCUCAAUGGGGGCUAAGAAGGAAGGGUGCUCUAAGAAUCCUAUCUUGAUAUCCCAUCGCCUAAUACAAAGAUUGUUGGAUUGGGCAGAAGAGGAGGUUGGUUUCCAACCAUCAACCAAAGCAAAUUAUCUCAAGCGGCGUAUUCGAUCUAUGGGUAGAUAUUUCACACCCCUCCAAACUCCAACAUUGGUAUAUUUUAAUCUUUUCUUUCUUGUAUAUAUCGUUCGUUGUUACAUUUUCUACUGAAAAUUAUAAAAUCUCUUUACUCUUUCCCCUAUGUAUGUGAUUGCUUUAUUAUUUCCCUUGUUUUUGUUCAUUCCUUAGUUAUUUCUAUUCUUUCUUUUCUUUUCUCUUUUUUGUUUCAAUUGCAUUGCGGCCUAUAAGUGCAAUAAGUAUUCGGAGCAGCCAAAAAGAAGGAAAUGGAAGAGAAGACAUUAGAGUAGAAAAGUAGGCGUGCUGCAACGGUUAAAGGGGAAUCGGCUGGAAUCGUUGCCAUUCCAUUUGUACAAAAGUUUGCUUCAAUCAUCUAAUUGAAUCAUGUGUAGCCCGACGUAGCCACUGCAGCAUUAUCCGAGACUCAGGGCCGGCCUUGAGAUAGAUCAAACUGGGCGACCGCCCCAAGCCCCAGGCUUAGACCUUGUAUUGAUGUUCUAAUAGGGUGCAAGGAUGGCUUUCUACAAUAUUAUAACAAGAAAAAUAAUUAAAUAGGUUAAUGAUGGGUUUUA